UGCCAGCCGCCGCGGUAUUACGGAGGGUGCAAGCGUUGUUCGGAAUUAUUGGGCGUAAAGCGCGUGUAGGCGGUUCGUUAAGUCUGAUGUGAAAGCCCGGGGCUCAACCCCGGAAGUGCAUUGGAAACUGACAAACUAGAGUACGAGAGAGGGGGGUAGAAUUCAGAGUGUAGCGGUGAAAUGCGUAGAUAUUCUGAGGAAUACCAGUGGCGAAGGCGGCCCCCUGGCUCGAUACUGACGCUGAGGUGCGAAAGCGUGGGGAGCAAACAGGAUUAGAUA
rnacentral:rRNA from 1 species